ACUUGGUUAGUAUAAUAGUAUAUAUAAUUACCAUUUAUAAGGUUCAACCAGGUA
rnacentral:tRNA from 1 species